rnacentral:rRNA from 1 species
UACGUAGGCAGCAAGCGUUGUUCGGAGUUACUGGGCGUAAAGGGCGCGUAGGCGGGUGCUCAAGUCCGGGGUGAAAUCCUCCAGCUCAACUGGAGAACUGCCUCGGAUACUGGGUGUCUCGAGGGUGGCAGGGGUAUGCGGAACUAUCGGUGGAGCGGUGAAAUGCGUUGAUAUCGAUAGGAACUCCGGUGGCGAAGGCGGCAUACUGGUCCACUUCUGACGCUGAGGCGCGAAAGCCAGGGGAGCGAACGGG